rnacentral:rRNA from 1 species
CAUGCAAGUCGACGGCAGCGCGAGAGAGCUUGCUCUCUUGGCGGCGAGUGGCGGACGGGAGAGUAAUAUAUCGGAACGUGCCCAGUAGCGGGGGAUAACUACUCGAAAGAGUGGCUAAUACCGCAUACGCCCUACGGGGGAAAGGGGGGGAUCGCAAGACCUCUCACUAUUGGAGCGGCCGAUAUCGGAUUAGCUAGUUGGUGGGGUAAAGGCUCACCAAGGCAACGAUCCGUAGCUGGUUUGAGAGGACGACCAGCCACACUGGGACUGAGACACGGCCCAGACUCCUACGGGAGGUACAGCUGCGGAAUUUUGGACA